AAACGGGAACAUCACUGAGAAGCGGUAGAAGGCUAGACAGUCCCAGGAAGCGGCUCCGGGGACGAGUGUCUUGGUAACGCUUUUCCGCCCUAGGAUUCGUACUUUGGUGCCGUUUCCGAGCGUUCCGGUGCCGGCUCCCAAGCUAUCUUCAAUGCAGGUUGCAGACGGGAACUGGCCUCGUCCCAGCCCUGGGCCUGGACAAGAGAAGGAGGCCGAAGAAAACCAGCUUCGGCAACCUCCAGAGACAGGACGAUUAAAAAAGGCUAACUUGGCUGGGCGCUGAGGCUCACGCCUGUAAUCCCAGCACUUUGGGAGGCUGAAGCAGGAGGAUCACUUGAGCUCAGGAACCAGCUUGGGCAACAUGGCGAGACCCCAUGUCUACCAAAAUAAAUAAAUAAAUUAGCCGAUCAUGGUGGCACGCACCUGCAGUCCCAGCUACUCCGGAGGCCGAGGCGGGAGGAUUGCUGGAGCUGAGAGGUCGAGGCUGCAGUGAGCGGAGGUUGCACCACUGCGCUCCAGCCUGGGCGACAGAACAAGACCCUGUCUAAAAAUAAAUUUUAAAAAAAUUAUGAGGCCUUCGCUCUAUGCUAGUACUGUAGUAGGUGCUAAUUAUUAAGUGAAACAGACUGAACUCUUGCCCUCAUGGAGCUUACAGUUUAGUGGAGAAGACAUUACAUAAACUGUAUGACUAUAUAAUGACAUAUUGUAAUAACCUACAUAACAGUAAAAUGAGAGGUUGGGGAGGGAUUAUUUAUGCUUUAAGAAGUCCGGAAUCCUGGAACGGAAUGGCAUUAAACUGAGACACGGAAGAGCCACAGGGUCUAUCGCCUGGGGAAGAGCAUUCCAGACAGGGAGAAACUCGGGCCGGAAUGAUCCCGCUGUUGACAGUUGAGAGCAGAAUUUUAAUAGGCAAAAGAAAGAGAAGCCCUCACUGCUGCAGAGAGGAAUCCUGGAGAAAUGGGUUGCCCUCAGUUGUCUUUUUCUUUUUUUGAGAUAGUCUCUCACUGUCAACCAGGCUGGAGUUCAGUGGCGCAUUCGUACCUCACUGCGGCCUCAACCUCCCAGGCUCAAUCAAUCCUCCCACCUCAGCCUCCCGAGGAGCUGGGACUGUAGCUGGCAGAGCCUUUAUUAUUAUUAUCAUCCGUGGACCGAUGCGAGAUGAAUGUGCAAGGCUGUAAUGAGGGUGAACUCCUGGGUUAGCACACGCUUAACUGAAGCAAGGUCAUGGGCUUGCUCUGUAAAGUCAAGGCCACUUUUCCCGUAUGGCAGUAAACUGUCUCCAGACAUGGGUGACCUGAGAGAACAGAAUUGGAGCAACGCACCAGAUGCACACAACCAGCAAACGUAGAGCUGGAAUCCAAAGUCGAUGCAUGUGAACGUCCCAGCUCAGAGAGAGGUGGUGAGCAGGAGAGGACUGGGUGCAAAUGGUUCCCACACACACCUUCGUCUUCAUCAUUUAGUUCUCCAGGGUGUCACACUGACAACGCCACUUGACCUCCUCAGCAAUUCUGUGGCAUUUGUGCACCAGGAACUUUAUCCCCAUUUUGCCAGCAAGGAAACUCAGGCUUGGAGCGGGUAAAUCCUUACUGAACAGAGCUCCAGGCCUCAGACUUUUGCUGGCAUUGUCCUCCUUCGCAGUUUACUUUAGGGCCUGUCAUUUACUGGGGUAAAACACAAAAAUUCCUUGUCCCCGAAAGACUGCAAUUAAAGUGCCAUUAGCACAGUAAUGUACCAACCAAUCGUUCCUCGGGCACAAGGGGGCAUGUCUACCGCUAUUCAGUCUCAGUGGGUAAACUGGAGAGUCCUCCCACAGCGAGCAGAUUGCGAGGGGGGUGUGUAUGUGGGAGGACUCACGGGUUGGGGAGGCAGCAGUGGCGUUCUGUCCGAGCCUGUGUGUGUUGCUAUAAAAGAAUACUUGAGGCUGGGUAACUUAUGAAGAAAAGAGGUUUAUUUGGCUCAAGGUUCUGCAGGCUGUACAAGAAGUAUGACGCCAGCAUUUGCUUCCGGUGAGUCCCUCAGGGGGUGUCCACUCGUGGCAGAAGGGGAAGGGGAGCUGGCAUCAGAUGGCAAGAGAGGAAGGAAGAGAGGAGUGUUGGAGGUGCCAGGCUCAUUUCAACAUCAGCUCUGGCAAAAACUAACAAGCAAGAACUCACUCC